CUCUCGCGUGGAUUUCGUCUGGGGAGAAGCAGCGACGUGGUUUUGUUUGUUUUUGUUGUUUGUUUGCAGCCUCUGGGAUGACGGACCCUUGUCUGUCCUGCUCCAGUCAGAUGGGGCCCUUGACGACACCCGCAGGGUCUCCUCGUCAGCCCCGGGCCGCUGCUCUUGCUCCUCCUCCACGCCCACGCGGGGCACCGACCGACCGCGCCACCCCCGCCGGAGGAGCCACCGGGCUCCGGAGCUGCGCUUCCUGUUUCUCUUCUCUGCUCCUUGCUGUCGUUUGUCCCUUUGUGUCGACCUUGACCCCGGCACAAUUUCCACUCUCAGUAAAACAGGUCUCCUACGUAGUGUGUAUGUUUAAAACAACAGAGCUAUCACUUCUUCAUUUGGAAAAAAGAUUUAAUCUUUUUAUCACACAUCCUCUCAGAUGUCACAGAUCUCCCCGAGGGCGUCGGCAGCGGAGGUGCCAUCACCAGCUCUCGGCACGUCUGACCCGCCGGCCGGAAGCGCUGCCGAAGCCCCCCUCGCACUGGAGCAGAAGCUGCCUGUUCCUGCGGCACCUCUGGGCAAGCGCUGGAAACAUCCAGGUCGUUCUCUGACUUGUACUAGGAAAUGCCCCUCGCCUGUGAGAACUGACUCGAGGACUACGGCUCACUGCUCUCCCACCCAAACAAGAGCAGGCAGAGAGCAAGCGAAGGUGAGAGAGUCGGAGGCGGCGGCCUCGCACGGCCCUCGCCCUCCUCGGGAAGCAGCCACUCGCCUCCCAGAGCGAUCCGGGCUCGGAGCUGAGCAGCCCUGCAGGCAGAAAGAGGGCGCUGGCCUUCUUGUGAAUUUUUAAAUGUCAUCAUCAUAACGUUAUUUAUUUAAAUGUAGUUAUUUUGGUAUUUAAUUUUUUUUAAAGAGAGGGGAAAAAACCCUGUAUUUUCCUGGUGGAAUGAAACGGCUCAGAAUGGUAUAUUUAGGCAAUUUUAAAACAUUUAUUAUUUACCUAAAGACCAAAUAUGAUAAAUCUGUUCUCAGUAUUGUGUGUCAAUCCACGGUAUGGAGCUGUCACAAUGUUAUUGCAGACGAUGCGUAUUAAAAAUUAUGAAAUGACUGCACACUAGCUGGAUUUAUAACUCAGCCAUCUCAGAAAUAAAACAAAACCAUCAUGUCAACUCCAGACCACGUGUGUGACAGUGGCAAAGCCUCGCUUGCAGACUGCAGCACGGACGGGUCCGAGUGCCUCAGGCAGCAGCCUGCCUCCCAGGCACUUUCCAGAGACCUUGGAAUGUACGUUUGUGUUUCUCUUUUGACUCAGAAGGUUUGCAGUCGGCAAAAUCAUUCAGAUCACGCUGUGUCCGCGUGUGAGGUUGGGUGGCUUCACUGAUGGCCGCUGGAGCCCCUGACCGUGAGUUCUGGGGAGGGAGGUGGACGGGGCCCCCCGCGGGCAGAUGGCCUGGCCCGUGCUCCUAGGAGACACGUCCCACCACCGUCGCCUGCAGGCGCCGCCUGUCGGUGGGUGAUGCCGAGCCCGUGUGUAGAUUGUGUGGGUCUGGGGGCUCCCUGGUGGGCUCGUGGGUCGGGAGAGCGCCCGUCCUCAGAGCCCAAGAAGAGGAGGACAGGCUGCGUUGUCAGGCGCUAACGCGCGCCCUUGUCACAGGUGAGGCGGUCUCUUUGCUGCUCCUCCGUCUUGUUCAGUCGGCUUACUCACUGGCACAUAGAAAUCUCAGAAUGCCAGGGAGAGGGCAGAAAACCCCACAGAUUAACAAACCACCACACCGCAGGCACUUUUUAUGUUUGAAUUUAGCCCGGAAGUCCCAGGAGCCCUGUGGCCCCCGAGCCCUGGGAGAAACAGCUGGUUCCCGUGGCCCUGGGGGAAGCCUGGUGCUGCAGAGGUCACGUCGCACUGGACCCUGCCCAGCCGCGCACGGCUGUUCCUAAGCGCCUCACUGCAGGCAGUGUCUGCUCUGACCUUUGCCAAACGUCUGCGCUCCCUCAGGGACAAGAAACUUCAUUUCAGCAGCUUCGCCCUGAACCCGACAAGACGCAAAAGGGGGACUCACGCGGGAGGCGAGUGACGCGGCUCCUCCCGGGUUCGUGCGCGGACUGAGCUUCCUCUCGAGUCGGGGGGUCUCCACUCGGACAGUUGAGCUCUCCGGACACGUCACCCCUCGCACCGUCCCCUCCCAGGACGACAGAGUAGGCCAGAGUCACGGUCAGAGGGUGGGGCCGUGUCAGGACUUGGGAUUUCUGUGCUUUGUGACACAAGGAGACAAGUGACAAUCUUCGGGUCCUAACCUCCACUAUUCUAUAAGAGUAUCAUUGUCCUUUGGAUAAGCUUAAGCAGGCACUGCUCUGUUCGGAGCUCGCCAGAGGCCUCGUGCGCUGGAACAAGUGUCGGAAGGAGCGGCUGUGACGACAGCAGUGCCAGCUCCGGGCUCCACCGCGGGAAGGGGGAGCGCGUGUGCCCGGGCACAGGCUCCGGUCGCAGGCCCCGCUGAGUCAGCCUGGCUGUUGCCGUCGAGUUGGAGUUGAACAGCCCGUAGCUGCCGUUUCUCCUGCAGGCUCAGCGCUCAGCCUGGGAAGGGACGUUGCAAAGCAGCUGAGCCACGUCGUCCUGUGAGACGGAAACCGUGUCUAAGGGGCAGGCGGGCACGCAGGUCCCGGCCCGUCACCCGGGGUGUGGCACCGCCUUCAAGGACAGUUCCCACGGAGCGAAGAGUGGCGCCCUCCCUAGAGACAGGCAGGGCGGUGCGGACAGCGGCCUGGACGGCCGCGCCUUUGGGGCCGGGGUCCGCGGCGGAUCCCUGCUUCCAGUGCUUUAGGUCGCGGCCCCUUCUUGCUCCGGAGGAGCCGCUCUGGUGAUGCCGUAGUUCACGCCGAAGUGAAUGGAGCGGAGGAGGAGGCGACCGCCAUCCUGCAGGGUGACCUUCCUCCACCCGAGAAAGGAGUCGAGAGAGGAGGCCUUCGGUUCGUAGAAGCCGACGAGCUCCUCAGACCAGAGGGUGGCAGCCGCUGGGGGAGGCGCGCGUCUGGGCCCCGUGCCUCGUGGGCUGAGGCAGCUCUGGAGGCUCCGUGCCAUCACCGCGUGGUGAGUUGAGGCCCGAGCGGAGGUGAGGCUGCACCGCGUGCGGGGGUGGAAAGACCCAGGUGGACCCGCCUCCGUGCUCCUGUCCCCAGUGACCAGUGUUCGCAGGUUUCAGACGCGCUCUGGUGAGACGACGAAACCUGUGAACACAGAAGUUCUGACUUGAGACACGUCCUGAGGUCCCCAUGGCGUGAACACGCUCUGCCCUGUGUCUCGGGCAUUCACGGGACAAAGCAACCGUCUCGGUCGUGGAAGAAGCGACAGCAGGGGAUCAUCCCCAGAAGAGCAGCCCCUGCAGCAACGACUGUCCUCAACUGUCCCCCCGCGUCUCCUGGCGUAGCUUCUGGGAUGGCCUGGGCAUCAGCACUGCACACCCUGGAGACAGUGGGCCCGCGGAGGGGCCGGACCAGGGGCGCUGCCAGUCCAGGCGGGGGUGGGAGGGAGACAGGCUUUAUCUGGCCCCACGAGGUGCGUAACGUCACGGGGGGGCCGAGACCUGGGCCUGUUAGCUGAGGGUCAGGAGACAGGACGCACAGGACAUCAAGGCCUAGAGGAAGGUAGAGAAAGCCCCCCCUGGAGCUGGAUACCGCCCCCCGGCUCACCUUGAGCUGCCCACGCUGCUCGGCAAGCUUGGAGAACCACUGACCUGGAACCACGGCGCACAGCGGGUAGGUUGGCAGUUCAGUCUGACCCUGGCUGGAUCAUGUGCCUGCUUUAAAAAAAGAAAAAAAGUUAACAUUCUCUAGAGGCUUUACAUAGGAUUCAGAGACCACGCAAGAUGUCCAGAACCAUCCAGAAUGACUCGAUGUGCAAAGAGCCAGGAAAACCCCUAAAGGGAGAGAAAACAGCGACGUAAGCAUAUGCCGGGGGCAGCAGAAAGGACAUGAGCUGCGACCACACCCCAUGAAAUGAGGGCAAGUGCUCUCAACGCAGAUGAAGUUACGCAACUCAAAAAGAACAAAUGAGUUCCCGUCCUGGCUUGUGGUUAAUGAACCCGACUCGCAUCCGUGAGGACCCGGACUUGAUCCCUGGCCCCGCUCAGUGAGUUAAGGAUCCGGCAUUGCUGUGAGCUGGGGUACAGGUUGCAGAUGUGGCUUGGAUCCGGUGCAGCUGUGGCUGUGGUAUAGGCCGGCGGCUACAGCUCCCAUUUGACCCCUAGCCUGGGAACCUAAAAAAAACAGCUGAACGUGUAACUCAAACCCUUCCAACAUAGGUAAGCUCCAGGAAUCAGUACCCCACCAAAUCAACUACUGAGCUUGCAAAAUCUGUCUGAAUUAACGCUUCAGUUUUUUAAAGACCACAUCCAAGGCAUGUGGAGGUUCCCAGGCCAGGGGUCCAGUCAGAGCUGCAGCCACCAGCCUCCGCCACGGCCACAGCCACACCGGAUCCGAGCUGUGUCUGCGACCUACCCCACCGCCACAGCAACGCCAGAUCCUUAACCCACUGAGUGAGGCCAGGGAUCGAACCUGCAUCCUCAUGGAUACUAGUUGGGUUCGUUAACCACUGAGCCACGACAAGAACUAAAAUAACUAUUUUAGCACUGAGGAGUCUCCUCAGACUCACAACAUCCAAGGAGGUGGUUGAUAAAGAAAGGCUGGCAGAUUUCAGUGAAUUUUGGCAUUUCAUGUAGCCACCACCACGCCCAGCCCCGCCAUGGCAGCCGGGGGGAACAGCACCCCACCUUACUGGCACAACCUGCUCAAGCCAGGGUGAAUAAAAGGAGCUUCUGCCUCC
ensembl:lncRNA